UUAAGUGACGAUAGCCUAGGAGAUACACCUGUACCCAUGCCGAACACAGCAGUUAAGCCCUAGAACGCCUGAUGUAGUUGGGGGUUGCCCCCUGUGAGAUAGGGUAGUCGCUUAGC
rnacentral:rRNA from 1 species